rnacentral:lncRNA from 1 species
UGGCACCAGGGCCACCAGGGCAGUGUGGGCUAGAGCAGGCAGAAGGGCUUUGGGAGAACAUUCUGUAUUGUUUGUUGAUUGGGAAAGAGGAGGUGUUGAUCUGGGGCUCUCCAGACCCUGUGCUGGGCGAGGAGUGGCCGCUAGGGCUUGGGAGACGGUCAGGUCUGCAGCUGAUCUAGACUCCUGAACUACAUGGACACGGGAGUCCACAUGACACCAUGAGACAGGGACAGGGACGGGCAGGGGGGACAGAGGCAGAGGGAGGAGGCUCCCAACCCCCACCAACGCAAAUCAACUCCUCUGACGUCAGCGGAGACCCUGGCGGCCUGGGCCCUUACGGAGAAGCCUGACCCAGAGGACAGCACGAAGCAGGUAUCUCCCUCCUGUACAGAUGUCCCCAGUGCACGGAUCCUCACGUGCCAGUUGGGAGAGCCCUUCCAGCCUGGGGAACCCGCUCACCACCGAGCAAGGAGAGCCAGGACCGGGAGACCAGGGCAAGCCACAGCGGACAGCCCACACCUGGUGGGCACCUUGUGGGGACGUGAGCCAUCGCCACCCGAAUGUGAAGGUCCAGCUUGCCACUCAGGUGGGGAACUGCCCUCUGUGCCCUGGAGCAGAGGAGUGUUGCCGCAUGCCUGACCUGGGCCAUGGCCUGCACCUAGCCACAGGCCAGCAGAGCUCACCUCCAUGAGCAAGAAGGGGGCAGACAAUGCCCAGAAGUGGGCAUGUGCCUGUAAGGCAGCCCAUGGUCCACCCACAGGGACCUUGCCACAGGGCAAUGGCAGGUUAAGAGAGGGACAGCUCAGAUGGAGGGAGACUAGGGGACGGAUCCCCAAGUGCCAUCUGGGUCCUGAGUUGAAGGAAUGGACCUUUCUGAACACUUGGGAGGUGCUGAGGAACGGUUUCUGAUUCUAGUGACCGCUCUGGAUGCUUGCGUGAGAAGUGGCACCAGGUCCCAUGGGGACACCAUGACUUUGAGGGACACUGAAGAUCAGGCGGGGUGAGGGGGGAAUGCCUGGACUUGCUGGGAAAACAGCCUUGUGCACCUCCAGACUCUGCAGCCCAGAGAGCUGCUGCCUGGGCCCUGGGCCAGCCCAAGCCACCCAGCCGGUCCUCCAUGGGCAGGCUCCAGGGGGCCGGGGUCUGGGGGCCACCAGCAGCACACACAGAGCCACCUCUGCCGUCCCAGGCCACCGAGGCUCACACAGGCCUGUGGUGGUGGUUCCCCUUCUGGGUGUCCACUCCCUGGGCAGCCGAGGACACUGGGUGGCACGCUUGUGACCGCCAGCAGCCUGCAGUGGGCUGUGAGGCACAUGGCAAUUUGGGCUAAUUUUCCCUCGCGAAGUAGUUGAUCCCAUAAUCUGGUAAAUACACUAAUCAUCGCGCACUGCUCUGCGUGGGCGCCCCGGUGCCGGAGUCCAGGGGGAGUGGGCUGGCGCAGAACAAGACCGCGGCCACGGCAGGAAGAACCCGCUGCCAGAGCUGGCAGCCAGGAACACGGCUCCCGGGUGCCGAGGACCCCGGGCACCCCGCACAGUGGGCACAGGCCCCCCUCACAGACAGGGAGACAGGCCGGGGAGGGGGCUGCAGGGUGGGGGGCAGGAUCCAGGCUGGCAGCCCCCACCCGCCCUCCUUCCCACUGAAGCAAAGGAUGAGUCACACAGCGGAGCAGGGAGCAGCGCUCUGCAGAUGCCAUCGGACCAGGUGGCCCUUGCGGCCUGGCUGUGCGUCCUCUGCUCAGUUUCUGCUCAAUAAUGGAAACCUGAGCAGCUGCCGACUGUGCCCCAGGGGUUGUCUAAGAACCUCCAAUCUGCUUUGCCCAGAAGAUGUGGGGGUACGUGCCCAAGUGGAGUCCCCUGGGCUGGCCUGGGCUGGCAGGAGGCUGCUUUUGGCCAAGGCUGUCUCUCCUGGAGGCCUCUGCGUUCGGGACCCGGGUGGCAGCUGUGGACAUGGUCAGCCUUCCCAGCACUGACAGGUGGGCUUGGCCCACUCAGGCUGCGACUGCAGAAGCCACAAACAGGUGGCUUCAAAACCACAGGAAUAGUCUCCAGUUCUGGAGGCUUCAGGUCCGGUGUCCGGUGGAGGCCGGAGGCCUGGUUGAUAGAGGCACCUGCUCGCCGUCCUCAUGCGGCAGGAGGGCGAGGGAGGCCACCCUCCCAACAGCAUGACGGUGGGGGACACGCCAGGCAGACUGUACAGAGGGUCUGUACUCAGAGUGGAUGCCCACUUUGUCUUCCUGGCCACACGUUGACGGGAGCCAAAGCCACACCAGGGACCCCCCCGCACACUGCUCUGCACGGCACGGGUGACCGUCAAGUCCCUGGCUGGCCUGGGACCUGGGGUGCCCUACAAGCCCCCAGAGGGAGGUCUGGCCUCCAGGGCCUGAUCAGCCCCUCGCCCCCACCCCCCGCGAGGCCUUGCUCCUGACCCUCCCCAGCCCCUGCCUCUCAGUGGAGUUCAGGAGGCUGGGCCUGGGAGGCGGUCAGGGGCCUGGGGUGGCCCCAUGGAAGGGGCUAGGCUCAGGCGGGGGAGGAGGGGAUACAGCCCUGGCCCACAGGCCCUGAGGCCCAGGGCUGCGGGUGUCUGGCCUGUACUGGGCUGGGUUGUGUCCCCUGUAGCGGCCAGCCACCGUGGAUGGAGGCUGGCAUGGUGGGUUGAGAGAUGGCCCCUAAACAGACUUGUCCAUCUCUCAGUCCCAGAGCCUGUCUCCACCUUGUCUGGACAGAGGGUCUUUGCAGGUGUAACCACGCUCUGGCCUGGGGAUGGGAAAUGACCCUGGGUGGCCUGCUGAGUGCUCCGUGCAGGCCACGUGUCCUCACCAGAGGGAGGCAGGAGGUGUGACACAGCGGAAGAGGCAGAGGCAGGAGCCGGGCGGCCACCAGCCCGGGGAUGCCUGGAGCCCCAGCGCAGGAGGAGGCAGGGAGGACCCUCACCGGGGGCCCUUGGGCUCAGGCAUCUGGACCCCAGGAUGAGGGGCUGCACACCUGCUGCUUCCACCCAUCUGGCCUGUGGCACAGGACGUGACCACCACGGUGCUCCCCAGCACUGAGCGGACCCGAGCCCACUGCAGGGAGGUGGGCAGGGGGCACCCAGGUCCGGCCCCUCCCCGUCCCCUUCCAUGGAACAGUCUCAGGCUGGGCUCUGGGUCCUCACCAGGCUAUUGACCUCAGGGAGCCUCUGCUCCCUCAAGGUGACGUGGGGACCAGGUUGGACGUGGACCUUCAGGGUGACUGAGAUCCAAGGUGGCCAUGUGGUAACCUGCUCGGCAGGGUCGGUGCUCAGUGCACGCAGUUGGCGUCGUUACUGUGACGCCCUGGGACGUAGGGGGUGGGCAGACGCCCUGCACUUGAGUUAGGGAGUUCGAUGGCUCAGAUCACUCACGUCCCUUCACGUGAAAAAUAGCGAUGGGUCCCUGCAGCUCCUGACCUGCGCCCUCUACAGUCUUGCCUGCAGGAGCUCCAGCCUGUGCCCAGCCUGUCCUGCAUGGACAGCAGAGAACGGCACUUGUGUCCCCUUCAGGUGUGCAGUGAGGUCACCUCACAGGCCCUGGGCUCUGUGGCAAGGAAUGGCCACCAGAGGCGAGUCGAGGCACCAGGACGUGAGCUGACCUGAUGUGCGCUUUCCCUCCCGCCAGCCAGAUGUGGCAGCAAGGAAGCCGCAGCCUGGGCACUGUGUGCUGGGGACGGAGGAGCCGGGGAGGAAGGAGCCGACAUUACAGCCUGGAGGACAGCUGCUUCCUGCAGGUGCUCGAGGGGAGCAGGACACAGACCCCCGUUGUGAGAUGAACAGUCGCCAUUCCCUCCGGGCCUGUUUGUCACAGCGCCUAGCAUCAACGUAACCGACGCAAAGUCCGACAGGGUUGAGGUGCUGCGAGCCGCCUCCGACGCCUGGCUCAGGGCUGUGCCAGGCGGAGAGGGCCGUCCCUCCAGUCUCAGGUUCCCACGAGGUCUGACUUUUCUGGGGGACUGAGUUUCAGGCUCUCUUUAGGAGUUCCCAGGCAGGAGGGAGGACCACAGGACAGUGGAUGCCAAGCUGGGUGACGUCAGAGGACGAGGGCGGGGACACGGCACAUCACCAGUGUUGCUCAGCGAGGCCCUGUGUCACAGGCUCUUCCAGUUCCGGAGUGUUCUCUCCUAAAGGACCCCACACCACAUGGUCCAUUCUUCCUGCAGCACACGCGACCUCAGCCCACUCUGGCUGGCCGACGGCCCUCAGGCUGCCGCAGAGAUGAACUUUCUUGGUUGAGAGCACCCCGGGGCCUUAUAACUGUGAUUUCCCGUUCCCUCUGAAGUAAAAUCCAUAAUAGCCGCACUGGGGCGAAUGCCCAGGCUGGAGACGGUUCCCUGGGAGUCAGCGUCGGGUGAGUGACAGAGGCCACUUAGCAGCAGCCCAGGCGAGACGGGCCCCCACGUCUCCCCAUGGGAACCGCCGUGCAAACCACGGUGGCUCUGCUCGGCUUCUGGGGAUGGCGCCGAACGGCCCGACUGCGACGGGGUUUGGCCCAGGCUGCCUCCUGCGUCCACACCACGUCCAUUCCAGCUGCCCCCACACCUCCCAGCAGCGUCUGGGGACAGCAAGUGACACAAGCAGGCCAUGGGUUUCCUGGAGAUUCCCCUGGCCCAGGAGCAGCACCUUCAGGGGGCGAGAAAGUGGAG